CGGAUGUAGCCAAGUGGCUCAAGGUUUUU
rnacentral:tRNA from 1 species